UACGGAGGGAGCUAGCGUUGUUCGGAUAUACUGGGCGUAAAGCGCACGUAGGCGGCGCCGUAAGUCAGGGGUGAAAUCCCGGAGCUCAACUCCGGAACUGCCCUUGAAACUGCAGUGCUAGAAUCUUGGAGAGGCGAGUGGAAUUCCGAGUGUAGAGGUGAAGUUCGUAGAUAUUCGGAAGAACACCAGUGGCGAAGGCGACUCGCUGGACAAGUAUUGACGCUGAGGUGCGAAAGCGUGGGGAGCAAACAGG
rnacentral:rRNA from 1 species